rnacentral:rRNA from 1 species
UACGAAGGGAGCUAGCGUUGUUCGGAAUCACUGGGCGUAAAGCGCACGUAGGCGGAUGUGCCAGUCAGGGGUGAAAUCCCGGAGCUCAACUUCGGAACUGCCCUUGAUACAGCACGUCUUGAGUCCGAGAGAGGUGGAUGGAAUCCCUAGUGUAGAGGUGAAAUUCGUAGAUAUUAGGAAGAACACCGGUGGCGAAGGCGGUCCACUGGCUCGGUACUGACGCUGAGGUGCGAAAGCGUGGGGAGCAAACAGG